rnacentral:rRNA from 1 species
AUUGAACGCUGGCGGCAUGCCUUACACAUGCAAGUCGAACGGUAAUAGGUCUUCGGAUGCUGACGAGUGGCGAACGGGUGAGUAAUACAUCGGAACGUGCCUAGCAGUUGGGGAUAACUACUCGAAAGAGUGGCUAAUACAGCAUGAGAUCUACGGAUGAAAGCAGGGGAUCGCAAGACAUUGUGCGACUAGAGCGGCCGAUGGCAGAUUAGGUAGUUGGUGGGAUAGAAGCUUACCAAGCCGACGAUCUGUAGCUGGUCUGAGAGGACGAUCAGCCACACUGGGACUGAGAAACGGCCCAGACUCCUACGGGAGGCAGCAGUGGGGAAUUUUGGACAAUGGGCGCAAGCCUGAUCCAGCAAUGCCGCGUGCAGGAUGAAGGCCUUCGGGUUGUAAACUGCUUUUGUACGGAACGAAAAGCCCCGGGUUAAUACCCUGGGGUCAUGACGGUACCGUAAGAAUAAGCACCGGCUAACUACGUGCCAGCCGCCGCAGUAA